ACCCUGGUCCCAAACAAAUGCUUAUAUAAUACUUUUGAAUGUAUUAAAAUAGUUUUCGGGAUUUUUAGAUUUAACAAAAAUAUUUUGUUUUAGGAUUUAUAAGGAAUUUGCGAAUAGUAAGGUGACCCUAUAAAGGAGAAAGGACAUGAAGGGGUAAAAAUAAAAGUCUCAGAAUAAUUUUUAGAUAUUUUAUAAAUUACCAGAGCGGAGAAAUAGUGAACAGAAGUACGGUCAGAAUUGUAUGAUUUUGCACCGAACUGUGAUUAUAAAAUCCAGUUAUUAGAAAAUAGGUGAAAAUAGAAAAGACACAAAAUGAGCCAAGAAUUUUCCUAGAGUAUCUAAAUAAAUUGUGGAACUCAUUUAUGAAUUUUCGGAAAUUUUACGAAGCUCAAGGAAGUUAAAAUGAAAAGGAAUAAAGGAGCCGGAUACCCAAGAUUUCCGGACUGCAAAAUGACCUUUAAACUAAACCAGCGGAAUUUCGGAAGGAAUACUGAAGAGAAGGUUAGUACGUUUAUGAUCUUUGGAGUCUCUAGAACAUUCCUAUAUUGAGUUUGAAGAAAAAUCUCGAGAUUAAGAGUGAACAGGGAUCAGUGGAAAAAUAUCAGACCGAUACAUCCCUAAGAAAAAGUGAAAUAUUUUCGGACUCCAAAUGAGCUCAUUUUACAGUCAAAAAUUCCCAAAUAAUAUAUUAGGAAUUAUUAUAUCGUUGGAAUUCGUCAACGAGAUCAAGAAUAGUGAGAUUUAAUUUAAGAUUUCAAGAAAAUGAUUAGAUUAAAAUGAAUAAGCCUUAAAUGAAUCCAUGAAGUCUCUGGACAUACCGUUGGCAAAUUAAAUGUUGCCACGUGUCAAGCAAGCAUUUCACCGCCUGAAUAACUAGAUAAACAUUCAGUUAACAUAAUGAAAAUUGUAGAGUUCAUCCAUUUUAAUGAAGAAAUUCGAAGUGGAAGAACUAUAAAACAGGGAGGAGAAGAAAAUUCAUAGAAAAAGAUUCCUAGCUCGGAUUUUGACGUUCUAUAGCUUGUUUCGAAGAGCUUGACAAGGGCUGCGAUUUGAGUGGUGCACAGAAAGGUGCAGAAGGACCUUAAGGACAGGAAGUUGUGAUUGAGUUGCUGAAGUAAGGAUAUGAAUAGUUAGUAGUGUGUUUUGUAUGAGUGCUCAGUGGAGAUUGUAGAUGGUGCCUAAGAGACGGUGGUCCAACAGGAUGCUCCAGACUCCUCCAUCAGCCGAUGCACAUAUAUGUAGUUUGAGAGAUUGUGUUUAUGUACUCUAGACUUAUCAAGUGUGCAAGAAAUCACGAAGAUAAAUUUAUGUUUAAAUUCUGAAUAUGUGUGGUGAAUAUGGAUGAUGGAAAUGUAUUGAAAUUUUAUGUUGCUUGGUAAA